UACGUAGGGGGCAAGCGUUGUCCGGAAUCAUUGGGCGUAAAGCGCGUGUAGGCGGCUCGAUAAGUCUGCUGUGAAAGUCCAAGGCUCAACCUUGGGAUGCCGGUGGAUACUGUCGAGCUCGAGUCCGGAAGAGGAGUGUGGAAUUCCUGGUGUAGCGGUGAAAUGCGCAGAUAUCAGGAGGAACACCAGUAGCGAAGGCGGCUCGCUGGGCCGUUCCUGACGCUGAGACGCGAAAGCUAGGGGAGCGAACAGG
rnacentral:rRNA from 1 species